AAAAAGACUUUCCAUGCCCAACAUUUGAGCAUCCGUCUUAUUUAAAAAAAUUAUAAAAAAAAUUAAAAUGACAAGUCACGCAUAAAAUAUUAAUCAUAUUUUAUCAUCUAACAAUAAUAAAACUAUGAAUUAUAAAAAAAUUUUAUAUAAGAUGGACAAUCAAAAUUGGAUAUGGAAACCCAGGUUUUGCUUUUC
rfam:Oryza glumipatula chromosome 1, whole genome shotgun sequence.